UACAGAGGGUGCAAGCGUUGUUCGGAAUUAUUGGGCGUAAAGCGCGUGUAGGCGGCUAUGCAAGUCGGGUGUGAAAGCCCUCAGCUUAACUGAGGAAGUGCGCCCGAAACUGCAAAGCUUGAGUACCGGAGAGGAUGGCGGAAUUCCCCAAGUAGAGGUGAAAUUCGUAGAUAUGGGGAGGAACACCGGUGGCGAAGGCGGCCAUCUGGACGGAUACUGACGCUGAGGAGCGAAAGCGUGGGGAGCGAACAGG
rnacentral:rRNA from 1 species